GAAAGGCCCCUUCGGGGGUACUCGAGUGGCGAACGGGUGAGUAACACGUGGGUAAUCUGCCCUGCACUUCGGGAUAAGCCUGGGAAACUGGGUCUAAUACCGGAUAGGACCUUUAGGCGCAUGCCUUUUGGUGGAAAGCUUUUGCGGUGUGGGAUGGGCCCGCGGCCUAUCAGCUUGUUGGUGGGGUGACGGCCUACCAAGGCGACGACGGGUAGCCGGCCUGAGAGGGUGUCCGGCCACACUGGGACUGAGAUACGGCCCAGACUCCUACGGGAGGCAGCAGUGGGGAAUAUUGCACAAUGGGCGCAAGCCUGAUGCAGCGACGCCGCGUGGGGGAUGACGGCCUUCGGGUUGUAAACCUCUUUCAGCAGGGACGAAGCGCAAGUGACGGUACCUGCAGAAGAAGCACCGGCCAACUACGUGCCAGCAGCCGCGGUAAUACGUAGGGUGCGAGCGUUGUCCGGAAUUACUGGGCGUAAAGAGCUCGUAGGUGGUUUGUCGCGUUGUUCGUGAAA
rnacentral:rRNA from 1 species